AAUUAUUGUUGAGAUGAAGAUGAUAUAAAAUAAAAAGUUAAUAAAACUUGCUCCUCCAACAUUUCAUUCUUGAUCGAAACCGCUAGAUUUACUUUGUUAAUAAAAAUUUCAACUCAGAAAAACAACCCAACAUUCACAAUUUUAAGUUUUAACCAAACCACCCUUAUAAUUUCUUUCCCCUCAAAAUUCAAACACUUCGAACUUAGAAAAUAAAAAAUCCCACAAUAACACAACAUUAAUAUAAUCAAACCCCUAAUUAAUCAUCUUACAAUCCCCUCUAAUCUCGCCACUGCUCCCGGUCAACGGGCUUAUAUUACCCAUGUUGACCAUCGACUGUACAAAACUCUGGAAGAAAGCUGUUUGGUUGUUGCUGAAGGCGUUGACCAGGGCCAUCGUUGAAGUCCCGGUCAGCGCCUGGUCAGACUGCAACAAUCCCUGGUUGUUCUGGAGGUUCGAGUAGUAGUUGUUGUCGAAAGUGUCGGAAGUUGUCGGAUCGAGGUUCGCCAAUGCCGCUCCGUUGCCGUUUUGUGGGCACGUCUGCUGCAGGG
rnacentral:lncRNA from 1 species